GCUUACGGCCAUACCAGCCUGAAUGCGCCCGAUCUCGUCUGAUCUCGGAAGCUAGGCAGGGUCGGGCCUGGUUAGUACUUGGAUGGGAGACCGCCUGGGAAUACCAGGUGCUGUAAGCU
ensembl:rRNA 5S_rRNA 5S ribosomal RNA